UACAGAGGUCUCAAGCGUUGUUCGGAUCAUUGGGCGUAAAGGGUGUGUAGGUGGCGCCGUAAGUCGGGUGUGAAAUUUCGGAGCUUAACUCCGAAACUGCAUUCGAUACUGCGGUGCUUGAGGACUGGAGAGGAGACUGGAAUUCAUGGUGUAGCAGUGAAAUGCGUAGAGAUCAUGAGGAAGACCAGUGGCGAAGGCGGGUCUCUGGGCCGUAACUGACGCUGAGGAGCGAAAGCGUGGGAGC
rnacentral:rRNA from 1 species